rnacentral:misc_RNA from 1 species
GAUGAAGAACGUAGCGAAAUGCGAUAAGUAAUGUGAAUUGCAGAAUUCAGUGAAUCAUCAAAUCUUUGAACGCACAUUGCGCCCUUUGGCAUUCCGAAGGGCACACCUGUCCGAGCGCCGUCGCACAACUGAGGCGCAGCCUUGCGUUGGCGGGCGACUUGUGAGUAGCGAGUCGCCGCCCAAACGAGACGGCGCCGCGCCGCGGCCGACGAAGCACGAAAGCGGAAGUCGACGCGGAGGCGGUUGCCUGUAGGAAGACACAGCUUGGCCUCGGAUCAGGUGGGGAUACCCGCUGAACUUAAGCAUAUCAAUAAGCGGAGGA